rnacentral:rRNA from 1 species
UGGGGAAUUUUGGACAAUGGGGGAAACCCUGAUCCAGCCAUCCCGCGUGUGCGAUGAAGGCCUUCGGGUUGUAAAGCACUUUUGGCAGGAAAGAAACGUCGCGGGUUAAUACCCCGCGAAACUGACGGUACCUGCAGAAUAAGCACCGGCUAACUACGUGCCAGCAGCCGCGGUAAUACGUAGGGUGCAAGCGUUAAUCGGAAUUACUGGGCGUAAAGCGUGCGCAGGCGGUUCGGAAAGAAAGAUGUGAAAUCCCAGAGCUUAACUUUGGAACUGCAUUUUUAACUACCGGGCUAGAGUGUGUCAGAGGGAGGUGGAAUUCCGCGUGUAGCAGUGAAAUGCGUAGAUAUGCGGAGGAACACCGAUGGCGAAGGCAGCCUCCUGGGAUAACACUGACGCUCAUGCACGAAAGCGUGGGGAGCAAACAGGAUUAGAUACCCUGGUAGUCCACGCCCUAAACGAUGUCAACUAGCUGUUGGGGGCCUUCGGGCCUUGGUAGCGCAGCUAACGCGUGAAGUUGACCGCCUGGGGAGUACGGUCGCAAGAUUAAAACUCAAAGGAAUUGGAC